rnacentral:rRNA from 1 species
AUGGCCAGCGUGAUGGAAGAAGUGUCGUCGUUCUGGUGCCAUACGUGCAGCCGCCUCCACCAAACCAGCGCCGGCGAAGCCGUCGCGGUGUGCCCCGUCUGCGCAGCCGCCCCCAGCGCCUCGCUCGAGAGCAUCGUCGACGUCGUUGACGCCAGGACGUUCCUCGACGGCUGCCACCCGGCGGGCCGGACUGCCAGCGCCCUCGCCGAGACGCUGCCCCUCGUCACGGUCCGUGACGCGGGGCUCACCUGCCCGAUCUGCCUGGACGUGCUGGAGCCCGGCGCCAGCGCGGCCGAGACGCCGUGCCAGCACGUGUACCACCCGGCCUGCCUCGCGCCGUGGCUCGAGGCCAGAGGCACCUGCCCGGUCUGCCGUGCCAAGCCCGUGCCCGAGGAAGAUGCGGAUGGCUCUCCGGAUGGCCUUGUCCUUUGGGAUCAGCGGAACGGCCGCUCUGCCCUCGUCCGGCGAACUGCAGGGCGGCUCCGCAUGGUCGGGGUCCUCGACGAGGAUGGCAUGCUGAUGAGGCAUUGCAGCCCGCUGCCCUACCGCGCGCGGAGCCUCGGCGUACUACACGGCCUGCACUGGAUCAGGCAUUGUGCCGCCAGGUUUAGCAGCCGCGCGCGCGAGCCCCGACGGGAGAUCGUCUAA